ACAGCAAUAUCGCGUUGAAACGACGGUUCUCGUACGGCCACCGAAGUUAAGCAACGUCGAGCCGGGUCAGUAUCUUGAUGGGUAACUGCUUGGGGAUACCAGGCGCUGUAAG